rnacentral:lncRNA from 1 species
CCUGGCUGGAAUUGGAUCCGGCAAUCCAGAGGCAGCACACAUCUCUCCAGAAGGCUUGUGGUGGAAAUGGACAAAAUUAGUAAACACAGGCUUUCUUCGUGAGCUCCUACGGUGUGCUGGAACGGAUCUCAUCCUACAGCAAUCCAAGACAGGGUGUUAAUGAUAGAGCUCCUGGUGAACCUUGGCGGAUUCCGUGGCAGGACAUCUUCCAGCCCCACUGUGCGGCUGUACAGCAUUAAGUCUACAGAAUUCAGUGUGAAGAGCACACAUUCUCAGUGGAGUGGCGACAUUUCCAAAAUACCUAUUUGGAGCCUUCCUUUGUCACUGCAGAAAGGUCCAUGACUGGGAAUUCGAGGAGCAGCCAGACUAAGAAACCCAGCCCAUUACUGAAUUAUAACGAGUGGAAAAGAAAUACUAAGAAGACAGUGGGUAACUCUAGCACCAGAGGACGCUCAGCAAAAGGCUGAGCAAGUGUCACUGUGGCCUGUGCUUUCCUGGCAUCUUGUUUUGAGGAUAC